UACAGAGGUCUCGAGCGUUGUUCGGAUUCAUUGGGCGUAAAGAGCGUGUAGGCGGCCAGACAAGUCUGCUGUGAAAACUCGAGGCUCAACCUCGGAAUGUCGGCGGAAACCCUCUGGCUAGAGUCCGGAAGAGGAGAGUGGAAUUCCCGGUGUAGCGGUGAAAUGCGCAGAUAUCGGGAAGAACACCCGUGGCGAAGGCGGCUCUCUGGAACGGUACUGACGCUGAGACGCGAAAGCGUGGGGGAGCGAACAGG
rnacentral:rRNA from 1 species